UACAACUGAAUUUGAUGGAAGGAACUGCCUUGGUGGUUGCUCCAGAAGUCAAUCAUUACAACUUUCAGCAACGGAUGUCUAGGCUCCCACAACGAUGAAGAACGCAGCGAAAUGCGAUAUGUAAUGCGAAUUGCAAGACCUCGUGAAUCAUCCAA
rnacentral:rRNA from 1 species